AGUGAACGCUGGCGGUAGGCUUAACACAUGCAAGUCGAACGGCAGCACAGUAAGAGCUUGCUCUUACGGGUGGCGAGUGGCGGACGGGUGAGGAAUACAUCGGACUCUACUCUUUCGUGGGGGCUAACGUAGGGAAACUUACGCUAAUACCGCAUGCGACCUACGGGUGCAAGCAGGGGAUCUUCGGACCUUGCGCGUUUGCAUGCGCCGAUGUCGGGUUAGCUAGUUGGCGGGGUAAAGGCCCACCACGGCGACGAUCCGUCGCUGGUCUGAGAGGAUGAUCGGCCACACAGGAAGCGAGACACGGUCCAGACUCCUACGGGAGGCAGCAGUGGGGAAUAUUGGGCAAUGGGCGCAAGCCUGAUCCAGCCAUACCGCGUAGGUGAAGAAGGCCUUCGGGUUGUAAAGCCCUUUUGUUGGGAAAGAAAAGCAGCAGGUUAAUACCCCGCUGUUCUGACGGUACCCAAAGAACAAGCACCGGCUAAUUUCGU
rnacentral:rRNA from 1 species